AAAGACAUAGUAUAAUUUAAUACACUUCAUUUACACUGAAAAUAUACUUAACAUAUAAGUUGUUUUUA
rnacentral:tRNA from 1 species